rnacentral:rRNA from 1 species
GUCCACGCCGUAAACGAUGGGUGCUAGACGUUGGCGGGCUUGCCCGUCAGUGUCGCAGCUAACGCGUUAAGCACCCCGCCUGGGGAGUACGGCCGCAAGGUUGAAACUCAAAGGAAUUGACGGGGGCCCGCACAAGCGGUGGAGCAUGUGGUUCAAUUCGACGCAACGCGAAGAACCUUACCAGCCCUUGACUUGUGGCUCGCCGGCUCCAGAGACGGAGCCUUCGGUUCGGCCGGAGCCAACACAGGUGCUGCAUGGCUGUCGU